UGUCCUUGCUUGAUGUAGAAACAGGUGAACAGUUUUGGAACACUGAGCCAUUGACUGCACCAGGUGGCUACGUUACGAGUGGGUUGCUUUUGAUAAUAAGGCACCGGACUGCAGCCAUAUAGUUUUGAACCUAGAAUAAAACCAAGAGACGGGAGUAGGCAAGAAGGACUCGACCUCGAUGGGCGAGAGGAAUGCCCAGUUGGCCAGAAAAGCAUGGUUUGUCAUCUUUCUUGGAGCCUGGUGAAGAUAGAUGCAACCAUACUACAAGGCAGGAUAUUUCACUGCAUCUAGGUUGAGGCUUGCUACGAGCAGGAACAUGGAGUACUCUGUGUCAGUAACUCAUGAUAUUGUUUUCCUUACAUUGCAUGAUACUAGGGAGGAGGCCCUGGGCUAGUGGAAGGUCAUGGGUGAGGGCUCUCUCUCUUUCUAGCACUCACUACCUUUAUCAGUCUCUCUCCUGUUACAGAAUGGUCCAAGGACCUCCAGAGCCUUCUGACCAACUACCUGUGAUAUCUCCAGAGCACAGAGAAGUGAGUCUGUUGGGUUGGAAACUCUAGAGCAGCACAUCAAGAAACCUGCCACCCUGUUGUCAGCUAUCUGCAGACAGUUCCCUGUGGAAGGACGCAACUAUCAAGGUUUGCAAAGGCCAUAUUUUAGGGAUGACCAAAUGCAACAAAGUUUUGUGUAAACUAAUUGUAAUUUUAUUGUUAGAUUACAAAGCACCUUUUCCACAGCAUUUUUUUUUACAUUGGUCUUCACACUAAUUCAUGUGGUAAACACAAAGACAACACGUGGAGCUUAUGAUUCAAAAGGUCUAAACUAAAUGCAAGUCCAAGGUGAAAACGUUUUUAUUCAUUUACAAUGCCUUCAGAAAGUAUUCA